UACGGGGGGAGCAAGCGUUGUACGGAUUUACUGGGCGUAAAGGGCGCGUAGGCGGCCACCGCAAGUCAGUUGUGAAAUCUCUGGGCUUAACCCAGAAAGGUCAACUGAUACUGCGGGGCUAGAGUGCAGAAGGGGCAACUGGAAUUCUCGGUGUAGCGGUGAAAUGCGUAGAUAUCGAGAGGAACACCUGCGGCGAAGGCGGGUUGCUGGGCUGACACUGACGCUGAAGCGCGAAAGCUAGGGGAGCGAACAGG
rnacentral:rRNA from 1 species